rnacentral:rRNA from 1 species
ACUCCUACGGGAGGCAGCAGUGGGGAAUAUUGCACAAUGGGCGCAAGCCUGAUGCAGCAACGCCGCGUGAGGGAUGAAGGCCUUCGGGUUGUAAACCUCUUUUAGCAGGGAAGAAGCGAAAGUGACGGUACCUGCAGAAAAAGCACCGGCUAACUACGUGCCAGCAGCCGCGGUAAUACGUAGGGUGCGAGCGUUAUCCGGAAUCACUGGGCGUAAAGGGCGCGUAGGCGGUUACAUAAGUCCGAUGUUAAAGCGUAGGGCUCAACCCUAUAAAGGCGUUGGAUACUGUGAAACUAGACUUCUGGAGAGGUAAGUGGAAUUACCAGAGUAGCGGUGAAAUGCGUAGAUACUGGUAGGAACACCCAUAGCGAAGGCAGCUUACUGGACAGAGAGUGACGCUGAGGCGCGAAAGUGUGGGGAGCAAA